UCCAAGGGGAGGUGCUCGCUCGCCCAGCUUUGGGGCUCCUUCUUCUCCAGGCCCAUGAGUUCUUUGUACCUGCCUGUUCUUGCUCACCCUGGCAGCUCUCUGCCCCAGCUGGUGUUUGCAUGGCCCACGCUUUUUUGGUGCUAUGAGAGCCCAAGCUUUCUCAGUGCACCAUCCACCUUCACUCCCUCUUCCCCAGCCUGCAGCAAGGGACGCUCCUGAGACCACAGUGUGGGCUCCUUACCUGGGUCCAGAGUGGGAGCACCAGGACUACCUUCCAGGAAGAGGACUAUUUUUGCUGAGAAACAGCUUCGAUGCAUCUUUAAUAAGAAAUAUCAGAGUAGCCCUCCACGCUCCCAAACUGCCUCAGUCCAAAUCCUGGCUCUGUACCUUAAGAGGAUCCUCCAAGACUCUCAAUGGAGAAAGUGACCUUUGAGGAUGUAGCUGUGAACUUCACCUCGGCAGAGUGGGCUUUGCUGAAUCCAUCCCAAAAGAAGCUGUACAGAGGUGUGAUGUGGGAAACACUUAUGAAUGCUAAUGCUAUAGGAAGAACAUGGAUAACCAGCAAAUUGAAGAACAGGAGAAAAUUUGCUCAAGAAAUCUAGGAUAUGAUACAGAGAAUUACUUGAAGUUUGAAGAGAAGCUAAAUAAAUGUAAUGAACAUGGAA